rnacentral:rRNA from 1 species
UACGAGGGGUGCAAGCGUUGCUCGGAAUUAUUGGGCGUAAAGGGUAGGUAGGUGGUCUCAUUUGUCUGGGGUGAAAUCCUUGAGCUUAACUCAAGAACUGCCCCAGAAACGGUGAGACUAGAGUCCUGGAGAGGGUCGUGGAAUUCCCGGUGUAGCGGUGAAAUGCGUAGAGAUCGGGAGGAACACCAGAGGCGAAGGCGGCGACCUGGACAGGUACUGACACUCAACUACGAAAGCGUGGGGAGCAAACAGG